UUAACCUCCCUAAUAAAUGACGUCAAUUUAAGUAUUAUGACAUUAAUUAAUUAAAUUAAUUACUUUAGAUAAGGUCAUUAUUAAGUGUUACUAAUUAAUUGGCGUUAUUGAAUAAGUAUAUAUAUAUAUUUUCUUUAUAUUUGAUGACAAUUCCCAGUCGUCUAUAAAUAGAUACACAGGAAAACCCCAUCUAAGUGUGUAUUUACAUAUCAUUAUUGUAUAAGAUGUCUCUGGUAUUAUUUAUUCACCUACGGUUAUUUAUCUCUGAUUAUUAAAUCAAUAUUGAAUGCGUGUUUAAACUUGUCCAGUAUUGUACGUAGUGACCUUUAACAUGUUGAUACGUGUCAAUAAAUCCGCCAUAUUGAAAAAUCGCGUCGGUCUUUUGAAAUCAUUAAAUCGUUAUAUUAUUGGC
rnacentral:lncRNA from 1 species